CCUACGGGAGGCAGCAGUGAGGAAUAUUGGUCAAUGGACGCGAGUCUGAACCAGCCAAGUAGCGUGAAGGAUGACUGCCCUAUGGGUUGUAAACUUCUUUUAUAUGGGAAUAAAAUGUUUCACGUGUGGGAUUUUGUAUGUACCAUAUGAAUAAGGAUCGGCUAACCCCGUGCCAGCAGCCGCGGUAAUACGGAGGAUCCGAGCGUUAUCCGGAUUUAUUGGGUUUAAAGGGAACGUAGGUGGAUUGUUAAGUCAGUUGUGAAAGUUUGCGGCUCAACCGUAGAAUUGCAGUUGAAACUGGCAGUCUUGAGUACAGUAGAGGUGGGCGGAAUUCGAGGUGUAGCGGUGAAAUGCGUAGAUAUCACGAAGAACACCGAUUGCGAAGGCAGUUCACUGGACUGCAACUGACACUGAGGCUCGAAAGUGUGGGUAUCAAACAGGAUUAGAUACCCUUGUAGUC
rnacentral:rRNA from 1 species